GAUGAACGCUAGCUACAGGCUUAACACAUGCAAGUCGAGGGACCGGCGCACGGGUGAGUAACACGUAUCCAACCUGCCCUUUACUCGGGGAUAGCCUUUCGAAAGACAGAUUAAUACCCGAUAUAAAGGAUGGGGAUGCGUUCGAUUAGGUUGUUGGUGAGGUAACGGCUAACCAAGCCUUCGAUGGAUAGGGGUUCUGAGAGGAAGUUCCCCAACAUUGGAACGGAGACACGGACUAAACUCCUACGUGAGGCAGCAGUGAGGUAUAUUGGUCAAUGGGCGCUAGCCUGAACCAGCCAAGUAGAGUGAAGGAUGAAGGCUUAUGGGUCGUAAACUUCUUUUAUAUAAGAAUAUGUAUUAUAUGGAUAAGGAUCGGCUAACUCCGUGCCAGCAGCCGCGGUAAUAG
rnacentral:rRNA from 1 species